rnacentral:rRNA from 1 species
CUACGGGGCGCUCCAGUGGGGAAUAUUGCACAAUGGGCGCAAGCCUGAUGCAGCCAUGCCGCGUGUAUGAAGAAGGCCUUCGGGUUGUAAAGUACUUUCAGCGGGGAGGAAGGGAGUAAAGUUAAUACCUUUGCUCAUUGACGUUACCCGCAGAAGAAGCACCGGCUAACUCCGUGCCAGCAGCCGCGGUAAUACGGAGGGUGCAAGCGUUAAUCGGAAUUACUGGGCGUAAAGCGCACGCAGGCGGUUUGUUAAGUCAGAUGUGAAAUCCCCGGGCUCAACCUGGGAAAUGCAGCUGAUACUGGCAAGCUUGAGUCUCGUAGAGGGGGGUAGAAUUCCAGGUGUAGCGGUGAAAUGCGUAGAGAUCUGGAGGAAUACCGGUGGCGAAGGCGGCCCCCUGGACGAAGACUGACGCUCAGGUGCGAAAGCGUGGGGAGCAAACAGGAUUAGAUACCCCCGUAGUC